rnacentral:rRNA from 1 species
CACGUAGGGCGCAAGCGUUGUCCGGAAUUAUUGGGCGUAAAGAGCGUGUAGGCGGUUCGAUAAGUCUGCUGUAAAAGUCGGGGGCUCAACCCUCGAAGGCCGGUGGAUACUGUCGAGCUAGAGUACGGAAGAGGCGAGUGGAAUUCCUGGUGUAGCGGUGAAAUGCGCAGAUAUCAGGAGGAACACCAAUUGCGAAGGCAGCUCGCUGGGACGUAACUGACGCUGAGACGCGAAAGCGUGGGGAGCGAACAGG